UACGUAGGUGGCAAGCGUUAUCCGGAUUUACUGGGUGUAAAGGGCGUGUAGGCGGUUCUGCAAGUCGGGUGUGAAAUUUCCAGGCUUAACCCGGACGGGUCACCCGAAACUGCGGAACUUGAGUACUGGAGAGGAUAGUGGAAUUCCUAGUGUAGCGGUAAAAUGCGUAGAUAUUAGGAGGAACACCAGUUGCGAAGGCGGCUCUCUGGACUGUAACUGACACUGAGGCACGAAAGCGUGGGGAGCAAACAGGAUUAGAUACCCCCGUAGUCCCUGAGCGGGCU
rnacentral:rRNA from 1 species